rnacentral:rRNA from 1 species
AGGCUUAACACAUGCAAGUGGAACGCCCCGCAAGGGGAGUGGCACACGGGUGAGUAACACGUGGGAACGUACCCUUUUCUACGGAAUAACCCAGGGAAACUUGGACUAAUACCGUAUGUGCCCUUCGGGGGAAAGAUUUAUCGGAAAAGGAUCGGCCCGCGUUGGAUUAGCUAGUUGGUGGGGUAAAGGCCUACCAAGGCGACGAUCCAUAGCUGGUCUGAGAGGAUGAUCAGCCACAUUGGGACUGAGACACGGCCCAA